rnacentral:lncRNA from 1 species
AUGCAUCCUAAGUGUGCAGACAGCGUAAUGGGAUGUUCCCCAUCUGAAUUCCCCUUCAUCAGGGUUCCAUCACCUGCCUGGUGCUGCAUCGUGUUCACACCUACUUUCAAGGAACAUUUGAAGCUUGCAUUUUUUCUACUGGUAAAAAGAUCUAGUCCCUCCUUCUACCAAGAAACAUAUACUCUACAUUUACAAAUUCAAGUUAGUUGCCUCAGGGUCCAGUUUCCUGUUUGAC